rnacentral:misc_RNA from 1 species
UACGGAGGGUGCGAGCGUUAAUCGGAAUUACUGGUCGUAAAGCGCGCGUAGGCGGCGUGAUAAGCGGGUUGUGAAAGCACCGGGCUCAAACUGGGAACGGCAUCCGGAACUGUCAGGCGAGAGUGCAGGAGAGGAAGGUAGAAUUCCCGGUGUAGCGGUGAAAUGCGUAGAGAUCGGGAGGAAUGCCAGUGGCGAAGGCGGCCUUCUGGACUGACACUGACGCUGAGGUGCGAAAGCGUGGGUAGCAAACAGG